rnacentral:misc_RNA from 1 species
AAGUCGUAACAAGGUUUCCGUAGGUGAACCUGCGGAAGGAUCAUUAACACGUAUCCAACGUUAAACCCCCCUGUGAACUUUUAUACUUGCUCUCUUAACUGACGGAAUUGCAAUCCCUGGUAAAUCAUUGUUGAACAGAUUUUGAUUCAGGGACCUCAGUUUGGCAGUUAGGAUUGAGCGAUCGUUGCAAGUGGCCUGGUUUCCCCAAGCAGUCAGUGUCUGAAAGUGGCAUUGAUUGUGUAAGGAUAACGCUUUUCGAUCACUAGAGGCCGACACCGGCCGGUGACCAGGUCGCCGUGGCUCCCCACUGCCUGAUUCCGCCUCGUAGGAAACUGCUGGGCAACAAAACGAACAACUGUUAACAAUGGAUAUCUUGGUUCUC